AGUUAUAUAGUUUAAAAAAAAACAUUAAUUUUGUAAAUUAAUAAUAAAAUAAUUUUUUAUAACUU
rnacentral:tRNA from 1 species